rnacentral:rRNA from 1 species
AUUGAACGCUGGCGGCAUGCCUUACACAUGCAAGUCGAACGGCAGCACGGACUUCGGUCUGGUGGCGAGUGGCGAACGGGUGAGUAAUAUAUCGGAACGUGCCCUGGAGUGGGGGAUAACUAGUCGAAAGACUAGCUAAUACCGCAUACGAUCUACGGAUGAAAGUGGGGGAUCGCAAGACCUCAUGCUCGUGGAGCGGCCGAUAUCUGAUUAGCUAGUUGGUGGGGUAAAGGCCUACCAAGGCGACGAUCAGUAGCGGGUCUGAGAGGAUGAUCCGUCACACUGGAACUGAGACACGGUCCAGGCACCUACGGGUGGCAG